GGGAGAGGAGCAUGAGAGGGAAGGGAUAGGUAGUCCGCAAUGUUGUUUAGGUUGUUAGUACAGUAGGCUAUAUCCACUUUCAACUACAAUGCCAGAGAGCUUCUAUCCAAGCUCAAGCUUCUAAUAUUUCAAAUUGAUUGUGCUGCUUUGGAGACAGCGAAUGUUUCUUAACUGAUGCCAUGGAUUAGAACCGGGAGUCUGGAGAAGUGAAUCCAGAGAGAUCACAGUCCUGCUGUGUAAUACACGAUCUAAGUGCACAAAAUGCUACCAAUGGAUCGACAGUGGACCACACAGAACCUCCAAUUGCUGAGAAUUCUGAAUUUCACCACCAGAACAUCAUAGUACCUUACUAACGGACAAGACAAAUGAAGCACAACAAUGGUCUGUGGCAAAAGAACAACCACAGCCCAUUUCCCCACAGUUGAUCACCUCAAAGCAUUGCCCACCAUACCAAAUGAGACCGCCACCCACUUCAAUAAGGAAGAGCAGCUACAAAACCUCUGCUGUCCAGAUUAACCAAGUGGAUGGAGAUGACCUGUGCGCCUCCAUCCUCUUGUCAUGUCUUUUCUGUCAGCCUUGGGACUGUUUACUGGCCACGGGGAAAGGAUGCCAUGCCUGUGCCUCAUCCCUGUGCUCCUCCCUGCGCUCCACAGUGUACUGCUGUGAGCCUGAUUCCCUGGAGCCUUUGCUGGACAUGACCCAUCACUGUGGCUGCUGUGGGUGUCUGGAUGCCCACUGCUGCCCGUGUGUAGAUCCAGGAUUUGAGUGCUGUGCCUGUGAUAUCUGCAUGCAAGCCACAGAGUGUGUGGAUCUAGGCAUGGAGAUCUCACAAAUGCUCUUCCACUAACCUGGUUAGUGUCAAACAAUUAUGAACACUGUCAAGAGUCAGAGAUUGUAGAGAUGGUGUAGGGCCAAACUCAAAGGACAGUAACGAAUCUGCUGUAGUUACCCCAAGAUCUAAAUUAAAUGUAACUGACAAAGUCUGCUUGGUUCUUUGCAUUUCUAAAUCUGCACUGGCAACAUGUUUUUCUAACCAAUGACUCAAGGUGGACCACAAUGUGAAAGAGAGCUAACCACAUACAGACAACUCGGUGAUACUUUAAUGCUGAUAGGGAGUGAGACUGUUGAAAGAGAGG